ACUGCAGAAAAAUACAGCAGAGUCAAAAAUAAAAUAAAAUUUACUGAGAGAUCAAUAUGUUGGAAUGAAAACAUGAGAAUUGAGUUUAAUUCUACAUUAUGAAAUUAAAGUUAAAGUAUAUUUUUUAUUUUUAAUAUUUUAAAAAAAAUUAAAAAUAUUCUUAAUAUUUAAUUUAUUUAAAAAAAUUUAAAAAAUACUUUUAAUAUUUAAUUUGUUUCAAUAUUAUUAAUAUUAUUCUUAAUUUUUUUUAUAAAUUUCAAUUUUAUCCUUAUCUUAACCUUUUUUCAGUCAAAAACUUAAAUUAUCCACAAAAAAUCAUAUCAUAUAUAAUAGGUAUAGUAUUACUUCUAUAUUUCUUCAGAGUAUUUAUUUUUCACUAUUAUUAAGAAUAUAUACAUAGUUUAGUCAUUUUAUUUUUUCUUAUAUCUCAAUAGUAUAUUGUUUUUCAAUGAUCAAGAAUAGAGACUAAUCUAUGUUCUAUUGUAUUCAGAAUGUUCUCUCUUAAAAUAGACACUAUCAUAUCUGACCUGAUUAAGAGAGAUAUUAUAUCUUUACUUUUAUAUAUCAACACUUUAAAGGAUGAUAAUAUAGAGCAAUAUACCAAAUUGCUUCGUAAAGAACUUUCAGUUGGAUAAUUUAAUUAUUAACAAAUUUUAAUUAUUAAAUCAGAUAAUCACUAAAUUUUAUAAUUAAAAAUUAAAUAGAUGAUAGAAAGAAAGGGAAUGAAGUAAUACCAUCCCUUCCAGAAGCCAUCACCCCUGGCAGUGGUUACCACAGGAAGAGUUUUUUGUUGGGUUGCAGGGGCAUCCUUGGUUGGAUAACCCACUGGUGGUGGUGGUGCAUGCUUCCC